AGAGUUUGAUCAUGGCUCAGGACGAACGCUGGCGGCGUGGAUUAGGCAUGCAAGUCGGACGGUAGGGCUUUAUCGUAAGAUAGAGUUUGAGAGUGGCGAACGGGUGAGUAACACGUAGGAAUCUACCCUUAAGACGGGGACAACCCAGGGAAACUUGGGCUAAUACCGGAUGAGAGUGCGAGAGAUUGCAUUUAAAAGGAUGGCGAAAGUUGUCGCUUAGGGAUGAGCCUGCGGUCUAUUAGUUAGUUGGUGAGGUAAGAGCUCACCAAGGCGAUGAUAGAUAGGCGGCCUUAACGGGUGGUCGCCCACACUGGGAUUGAGAUACGGCCCAGACUCCUACGGGAGGCAGCAGUCGAGAAUAGUCUACAAUGGCCGGAAGGCUGAUAGUGCGACGCCGCGUGAACGAGGGAGCCCUUCGGGGUGUAAAGUUCUUUUCUAUACGAGCAGUGCUAUAUAUAUGGAUAGUAUAUAUAGAGGGAUAGUAGUAUAGGAAUAAGCAACGGCUAACUCCGUGCCAGCAGCCGCAGUAACACGGGGGUUGCGAGCGUUGUCCGGAAUUACUAGGCGUAAAGGGCAGGUAGGCGGAUCUACGAGUUUUUUGUUAAAGGCUACGGCUCAACUGUAGUAGAGCAGGAGAUACUGUAGGUCUGGAAUGCGGUAGGGGAAGACAGAAUUCCUGGUGUAGCGGUGGAAUGCGCAGAGAUCAGGAGGAAUACCGAAGGCGAAGGCAGUCUUCUAGGCCGUAAUUGACGCUUAACUGCGAAGGUGUGGGGAUCAAACAGGAUUAGAUACCCUGGUAGUCCACACAGUAAACGAUAAUCACUAGAUGUCGGGUUCUAGAUGGAUUCGGUGUCGGAGCAAACGCGAUAAGUGAUUCGCCUGGGGAGUACGAUCGCAAGGUUGAAACUCAAAUGAAUUGACGG
rnacentral:rRNA from 1 species